CGGGUUGUGGCGCAGCUUGGUCAGCGCGUCCGCUUCGGGAGCGGAAGGCCGCCGGUUCGAAUCCGGCCAACCCGACCA
rnacentral:tRNA from 1 species